GCAGCAUCCCUUGCGAUUUGAAAUUCACUCCUCAUUCUCACUUUAGUGAAUAACCCUGUAGUGUUUUAUAUUGGCACCGCAUUCCAGGUGGCACAGGUAACCCAUUCCAGGUUCAACAGGACAUGGGACAUUCUAAAUGGAACCAGAACAUAGAACUCCAAAAUGGAACGUCCGCAGACCUCCACAGGAGAGAGCUACGGACAUUCUAUGCAUGACGCCUCA